rnacentral:rRNA from 1 species
GACGAACGCUGGCGGCGUGCUUAACACAUGCAAGUCGAACGGAAAGGCCCUGCUUUUGUGGGGUGCUCGAGUGGCGAACGGGUGAGUAACACGUGAGUAACCUGCCCUUGACUUUGGGAUAACUUCAGGAAACUGGGGCUAAUACCGGAUAGGAGCUCCUGCUGCAUGGUGGGGGUUGGAAAGUUUCGGCGGUUGGGGAUGGACUCGCGGCUUAUCAGCUUGUUGGUGGGGUAGUGGCUUACCAAGGCUUUGACGGGUAGCCGGCCUGAGAGGGUGACCGGCCACAUUGGGACUGAGGUACGGCGCAGAAUCCUACGGGAGGCAGCAGGGGGGAAUAUUGCACAAUGGGCGGAAGCCUGAUGCAGCAACGCCGCGUGCGGGAUGACGGCCUUCGGGUUGUAAACCGCUUUCGCCUGUGACGAAGCGUGAGUGACGGUAAUGGGUAAAGAAGCACCGGCUAACUACGUG